rnacentral:rRNA from 1 species
UACGUAGGGGGCAAGCGUUGUCCGGAUUUAUUGGGCGUAAAGAGCGUGUAGGCGGCCAGACAGGUCUGCUGUGAAAACUCGAGGCUCAACCUCGAGACGCCGGUGGAAACCGUCUGGCUAGAGUCCGGAAGAGGAGAGUGGAAUUCCUGGUGUAGCGGUGAAAUGCGCAGAUAUCAGGAAGAACACCCGUGGCUAAGGCGGCUCUCUAGUACGGUACUGACGCUGAGGAGCGAAAGCGUGGGGAGCGAACAGG